GUUCUUCAAGCUCCUGAAUCCUAUGCUUCUCUGUUUCAAGCAAUUGCUCCAAAUCACUCACCUUUUUGCCAGAUUCCUCUACUUUCGAGUGAGAUACCAGCAUCAAAUCCUCUAAUUCACGGCUGCGUUGAUCAGUGGUGUUGGCCCGACCUUCAUGCUCAGCACACUUGUCAGCAACACUUUUAAGCUCAGCUUCAAGUUCUAAAUUACGAGCAGUUGAUUUGACCAACUCAGAAUCCA
rnacentral:misc_RNA from 1 species